rnacentral:rRNA from 1 species
GACGAACGCUGGCGGCGUGCCUAAUACAUGCAAAUUGAGCGCUGAAGGUUGGUACUUGUCCCAACUGGCUGAGCAGCGAACGGGUGAGUAACGCGUGGGGAAUCUGCCUUGAGCGGGGGACAACAUUUGGAAACGAAUGCUAAUACCGCAUAAAAACUUUAAACACAAGUUUUAAGCUUGAAAGAUGCAAUUGCAUCACUCAAAGAUGAUCCCGCGUUGUAUUAGCUAGUUGGUGAGGUAAAGGCUCACCAAGGCGAUGAUACAUAGCCGACCUGAGAGGGUGAUCGGCCACAUUGGGACUGAGACACGGCCCAAACUCCUACGGGAGGCAGCAGUAGGGAAUCUUCGGCAAUGGACGAAAGUCUGACCGAGCAACGCCGCGUGAGUGAAGAAGGGUUUCGGAUCGUAAAACUCUGUUGGUAGAGAAGAACGUUGGUGAGAGUGGAAAGCUCAUCAAGUGACGGUAACUACCCAGAAAGGGACGGCUAACUACGUG